rnacentral:rRNA from 1 species
AACGAACGCUGGCGGCAUGCCUAACACAUGCAAGUCGAACGAGACCUUCGGGUCUAGUGGCGCACGGGUGCGUAACGCGUGGGAACCUGCCCUUAGGUUCGGAAUAACUCCCCGAAAGGGGUGCUAAUACCGGAUAAUGUCUUCGGACCAAAGAUUUAUCGCCUUUGGAUGGGCCCGCGUUGGAUUAGCUAGUUGGUAGGGUAAAAGCCUACCAAGGCGACGAUCCAUAGCUGGUCUGAGAGGAUGAUCAUCCACACUGGGACUGAGACACGGCCCAGACUCCUACGGGAGGCAGCAGUGGGGAAUAUUGGACAAUGGGCGAAAGCCUGAUCCAGCAAUGCCGCGUGAGUGAUGAAGGCCUUAGGGUUGUAAAGCUCUUUUACCCGGGAUGAUAAUGACAGUACCGGGAGAAUAAGCUCCGGCUAACUCCGUG